CCCUUAGAUGUUCUGGGCCGCACGCGCGCUACACUGAUUCAUGCAACAAGUUUUGUCCUUUGCUGAUAGGCCUGGGUAAUCUUUGAACGUGAAUCGUGAUGGGGAUAGAUGAUUGCAAUUAUUCAUCUUCAACGAGGAAUUCCUAGUAAACGCAAGUCAUCAGCUUGCAUUGAUUACGUCCCUGCCCUUUGUACACACCGCCCGUCGCACCUACCGAUUGAAUGGUCCGGUGAAAUCUUCGGAUCUGAGAGAUGUCUGAUUAAUUUCGGACGCCUUUUGGAAAAGUUGCUUAAACCUUACCAUUUAGAGGAAGGUGAAGUCGUAACA
rnacentral:rRNA from 1 species